CAGAGCGUAGCUAAGAUAUAAAGCAUCUCUCUUACACUGAGAAGUCACCCGUGAAAAUCCGGUCGCCCUGA
rnacentral:tRNA from 1 species